CGAUAAUAUUUUCAAAAUAAAGGCUUUCAUGUGGAAAACGGUUUUUAAAGUGAUUUUUUGAUUUUUUGUGGAUUUUCGAAAAAAAAUUAGAAUUUCAAAGUGAAGCCUUCAUGUGGGAGGUGCUUUCAACUAGUAGGAAUGAAUGUGAAUUUGAUAUGGAGUGGUUGCGACUAAGGAUGGCUAGCUGUAUGAUGUGAAAUUAGUGAUCCUUAUACAUUUUGUAUCGUUGUGUGUGUGAGUGGUUGUUUAGUUGUUAAUUGUAUACGUGCUACGCCGUGCAAAUACAAGGGAGAUACUGUCCGUUUGUUUCGGGAAUU
rnacentral:lncRNA from 1 species